GUGCCAGCCGCCGCGGUAAUACGUAGGGUGCAAGCGUUAAUCGGAAUUACUGGGCGUAAAGGGUGCGCAGGCGGUUAGAUAAGUUUGAUGUGAAAGCCCCGGGCUUAACCUGGGACGUGCAUUGAAUACUAUUUAACUAGAGUACGUUAGAGGGGGGUGGAAUUCUACGUGUAGCAGUGAAAUGCGUAGAGAUGUGGAGGAACACCGAUGGCGAAGGCAGCCCCCUGGGAUGAUACUGACGCUCAAGCACGAAAGCGUGGGUAGCAAACAGGAUUAGAUACCCUGGUAGUCCACGCCCUAAACGAUGUCAACUAGCUGUUGGGGGUUGAAAUCCCUGGUAGCGCAGCUAACGCGUGAAGUUGACCGCCUGGGGAGUACGGCCGCAAGGUUAAAACUCAAAUAAAUUGACGG
rnacentral:rRNA from 1 species